rnacentral:rRNA from 1 species
UACAGAGGGUGCGAGCGUUAAUCGGAAUUACUGGGCGUAAAGCGUGCGUAGACGGUAGCGUAAGUCAGAUGUGAAAGCCCCGGGCUCAACCUGGGAAUUGCAUUUGAGACUGCUCUGCUCGGGUGCGGAAGAGGGAAGCGGAAUUUCCGGUGUAGCGGUGAAAUGCGUAGAUAUCGGGAAGAACACCCGUGGCGAAGGCGGCACUCUGGGACGGUACUGACGCUGAGACGCGAAAGCGUGGGGAGCGAACAGG